GAUGAACGCUGGCGGCGUGCCUAAUACAUGCAAGUCGAGCGAACAGACGAGGAGCUUGCUCCUCUGACGUUAGCGGCGGACGGGUGAGUAACACGUGGAUAACCUACCUAUAAGACUGGGAUAACUUCGGGAAACCGGAGCUAAUACCGGAUAAUAUAUUGAACCGCAUGGUUCAAUAGUGAAAGACGGUUUUGCUGUCACUUAUAGAUGGAUCCGCGCCGCAUUAGCUAGUUGGUAAGGUAACGGCUUACAAAGGCAACGAUGCGUAGCCGACCUGAGAGGGUGAUCGGCCACACUGGAACUGAGACACGGUCCAGACUCCUACGGGAGGCAGCAGUAGGGAAUCUUCCGCAAUGGGCGAAAGCCUGACGGAGCAACGCCGCGUGAGUGAUGAAGGUCUUCGGAUCGUAAAACUCUGUUAUUAGGGAAGAACAAAUGUGUAAGUAACUAUGCACGUAUUGACGGUACCUAAUCAGAAAGCCACGGCUAACUACGUG
rnacentral:rRNA from 1 species